GCUUUCUCUAAUGUUUUAAAACCACCAAGGUUCUUCUAUUCAUAUUACUGACUUAACACGGUUUCUCCUCAUUUAAAGGUAUCUUAUUAUUAUCUAAUUUCUUUGUUAUUUCCUUCUGAAAAACGUUUAAUUACCAGCAUUGUAAGUAAGUUAAUUUGCUAUGUAUAAAUUUCACUAUGAUAAAACAAACAAAAAAAAUUACUCUGAAUUACUUUAGUUUGGUGACAAGUGUUAUAUAGAAAGCAACCAUGGGAGCCUGAUUUGUCCACAUUUUCAAUAACCGAUUCAUUAUGUUCUAGGAAGGUAUUUUAUCUUCCAGUGCAUAAUAUAGUAUAUGUACAUGUCACAAUCA